UGGUUCAGUGGUAGAACACUUGCCUAGCAUGCAUGAGGCACUGGGUUUAAUCCCUAG
rnacentral:tRNA from 1 species